rnacentral:rRNA from 1 species
UACGUAGGGUGCAAGCGUUGUCCGGAAUUAUUGGGCGUAAAGAGCUCGUAGGCGGCUUGUCGCGUCGACCGUGAAAACUUGGGGCUCAACCCCAAGCCUGCGGUCGAUACGGGCAGGCUAAAGUUCGGUAGGGGAGACUGGAAUUCCUGGUGUAGCGGUGAAAUGCGCAGAUAUCAGGAGGAACACCGGUGGCGAAGGCGGGUCUCUGGGCCGAUACUGACGCUGAGGAGCGAAAGCGUGGGGAGCGAACAGG